rnacentral:rRNA from 1 species
GAUGAACGCUGGCGGCGUGCCUAAUACAUGCAAGUCGAACGCGCCGAGAAGGGCACUUGUUCCUUUCAACGCGAGUGGCGCACGGGUGAGUAACACGUGGGAAACCUACCCUUCAGCGGGGGAUAACCAUCGGAAACGAUGACUAAUACCGCAUAAUUGUUCCAGUCGCAUGACUGGAAUGGUAAAGACGGCUUCGGCUGUCACUGAAGGAUGGUCCCGUGGUGCAUUAGCUAGGCGGGGGGGUAACGGCCUACCGGGGCUUUGAUGCAUAGCCGACCUGAGAGGGUGAUCGGCCACAUUGGGACUGAGACACGGCCCAAACUCCUACGGGAGGCAGCAGUAGGGAAUCUUCCGCAAUGGACGCAAGUCUGACGGAGCAACGCCGCGUGUGUGAAGAAGGUCUUCGGAUCGUAAAGCACUGUUAUCAGAGAAGAAUAGCAUAUAGAGUAACUGUUAUAGGUUUGACGGUAACUGAUCAGAAAGCCACGGCUAACUACGUG